CCUUCCCACACAACGACAUGACCACCAGGUUUUGCAACAGAACUUCUCAUUCUGAUAUAGCUGACAUAGACCAACAGACUGUUUCCCAGAAGCAGAGGAACACAUUCCCAGCUGCUGGACCCACUGAAGUCAGCCUCCUCAUGAUGACUUAAGAGAGACAACGGUUACACCGUGGUUUUUCAAGUACCAGAUCAUCUCCAGCUACCUAAAUAAUAAAGAAGGUUGUAAGAAACUGCUCAAGAGAAUUUCACAGCUAUUUGUGUGCAUCGUGUUUUCCAUGGGUCAGAGAUGAGAUGGAGACUCAGCACUCCUCCUUCCUUAACGCUGCCCCGGUCACAGCCGUCAGGGGCAGGUAAGUGCCCAAGUCAGCACUGUAAACAACUCCCACCAACACAGACAUGGGUUUAGGUGCUGAGCAGCACGCUCUCAUCAGCUCCAGAGACAUGCAGCAGAUUUCUGGCCCACUCUUCAGAUCCCAGGAGCUGAAAUCACGGCCUAUACACCAACAAUCUCAAGCACCGCUUGGUACACAGUUCUCAUGGACACUGAAGUACUUCUGUAAACAAAUGUAAAAUAUGACACUUAACCACCUUACUUUCCUAUACAUAACACGUUUUCAAUACUUAUAAAUACUCACAUUACAAGCAUUUAACCACAUAUAUACACACAAUACUGCUUUACCCCAAAUAACAAGUAGGCAUUUGUAAAAUGCUAGAACCGAUUUAAAUUUCCUGUCAUCUUGUUUAGUAUUAAAUUAUUGUUCUGGAAUGAUACAGCUUGCUGAAAAGCACAUCUGCCUGUCAAUACGUGGACAUGCACUGGAAUGGACACAUGCUAAAAUAACUUAUUUCCAGUAUUUGUUAAAUUUGUUUCAGAGAGAAGUUGGAUUCAUUCAGAUUUUCACACCACAGAAUCAUCC
rnacentral:lncRNA from 1 species